rnacentral:rRNA from 1 species
AUUGAACGCUGGCGGCAUGCUUUACACAUGCGAGUCGAACGGCAGCGGGGAGGAGCUUGCUUCUCUUCCGGCGAGUGGCGAACGGGUGAGUAAUACAUCGUAACGUGUCGAGAAGAGGGGGAUAACCACCCGAAAGGGUGGCUAAUACCGCAUAAAUUCUGAGGAAGAAAGCUGUGGACCUGGGAAUAGGCCUAGCGCUUUUUGAGCGGCCGAUGUCGGAUUAGCUAGUUGGUGAGGUAAAGGCUCACCAAGGCGAAGAUCUGUAGCGGGUCUGAGAGGAUGAUCCGCCACACUGGGACUGAGACACGGCCCAGACUCCUACGGGAGGCAGCAGUGGGGAAUUUUGGACAAUGGGGGCAAACCUGAUCCAGCCAUGCCGCGUGUAUGAAGAAGGCCUUAGGGUUGUAAAGUACUUUUGUUAGGGAAGAAAAGCCAGCUGUGAAUAAUGGCUGAUACUGACGGUACCUAAAGAAUAAGCACCGGCUAACUACGUG